UAGGGAAUCUUCCGCAAUGGGCGAAAGCCUGACGGAGCAACGCCGCGUGAGUGAUGAAGGUCUUCGGAUCGUAAAACUCUGUUAUCAGGGAAGAACAAAUGUGUAAGUAACUGUGCACAUCUUGACGGUACCUGAUCAGAAAGCCACGGCUAACUACGUGCCAGCAGCCGCGGUAAUACGUAGGUGGCAAGCGUUAUCCGGAAUUAUUGGGCGUAAAGCGCGCGUAGGCGGUUUUUUAAGUCUGAUGUGAAAGCCCACGGCUCAACCGUGGAGGGUCAUUGGAAACUGGAAAACUUGAGUGCAGAAGAGGAAAGUGGAAUUCCAUGUGUAGCGGUGAAAUGCGCAGAGAUAUGGAGGAACACCAGUGGCGAAGGCGACUUUCUGGUCUGUAACUGACGCUAAUGUGCGAAAGCGUGGGGAUCAAACAGGAUUAGAUACCCUGGUAGUCCACGCCGUAAACGAUGAGUGCUAAGUGUUAGGGGGUUUCCGCCCCCUAGUGCUGCAGCUAACGCAUUAAGCACUCCGCCUGGGGAGUACGACCGCAAGGUUG
rnacentral:rRNA from 1 species